GUAAGGAAUAUUGGACAAUGGGGGAAACCCUGAUCCAGCCAUGCCGCGUGUGUGAAGAAGGUCUUCGGAUUGUAAAGCACUUUAAGUUGGGAGGAAGGGCAGUAAGUUAAUACCUUGCUGUUUUGACGUUACCGACAGAAUAAGCACCGGCUAACUUCGUGCCAGCAGCCGCGGUAAUACGAAGGGUGCAAGCGUUAAUCGGAAUUACUGGGCGUAAAGCGCGCGUAGGGGGUUCAGCAAGUUGGAGGUGAAAUCCCCGGGCUCAACCUGGGAACUGCCUCCAAAACUACUGAGAUAGAGUACGGUAGAGGGUAGUGGAAUUUCCUGUGUAGCGGUGAAAUGCGUAGAUAUAGGAAGGAACACCAGUGGCGAAGGCGACUACCUGGACUGAUACUGACACUGAGGUGCGAAAGCGUGGGGAGCAAACAGGAUUAGAUACCCCGGUAGUCC
rnacentral:rRNA from 1 species